GUUUGUGGCCACAUUCCAAGUCAUGUAUUGGCAGAUAUGGUUGAGCGGCGACGAGAGUACGGUGGUGUUGAGCAAGUAAAUUGGUAAAUAAACUGUUGUUUUUGAAUUAUGAGUGUCGUUGUGUCUUCACACAUGACGUCACUCUUACUCUUGGUCGUUUCCGCUGUGACAUUUCUUUCACUUAUCGUUUAUUGGGCUUGCAACCUAAAUUAUUUGGAUAUUGAAUAUUUGGGAUUUUACUAA